GAAUGCUAAAUACUUCUGAUUUUUCUCCGGAGAAAUUUGGCAACAGCUCUGCCACAUUGACAUCUUCAGAUAUAUUGCAAAGACACGUCAAGAUUGUUGAAGUGAGUUUUGAGUCCAGAUCAAUGCCCUUUGCAGCCAUUUGGCAACAGCUCUACCACAUUGACAUCUUCAGAUAUAUUGCAAAGACACGCCAAGAUUGUUGAAGUGAGUUUUGAGUCCAGAUAAAUGCCCUUAGCAGCCAUCUGGUUAAGCAAAUCAAUAAUUUCUCUAGUUUGACCAUUCAAGCUAAAGCCUUUCAGUAAACAAUUAUACACAGAGUUAUCCGGUGUCAAGCCAGAUGCAUUCAUCCUCUCAUAUAAAUUCUUUGCCUCAUCCAACAGCCCUAGUUUUGAUAACCUAUUUAUUAAUAUGGAAUAUGUGAAAGCAUUUGGAUUCAAACCCCUAUGAAGCAUAUGAACAAGCAACUCUUUAGCAGAUUUUAAGUUUUUUGCUUUGAGCAUUCCAUCAAUGAUAAUAUUGUAUGACACAAGAUCUGGCUCACAAUUGCCAUCUAACAUCUCUUGAAACAACCUCCUAGCUUGUUCCAAGCUACCCUCAUUGCAUAAGCUUUC
rnacentral:lncRNA from 1 species